rnacentral:rRNA from 1 species
GAAGUGUGGACGCCAGUCUGCAUGGAGCCGACCUUGAAAUACCACCCUUUAAUGUUUGAUGUUCUAACGUUGACCCGUAAUCCGGGUUGCGGACAGUGUCUGGUGGGUAGUUUGACUGGGGCGGUCUCCUCCUAAAGAGUAACGGAGGAGCACGAAGGUUGGCUAAUCCUGGUCGGACAUCAGGAGGUUAGUGCAAUGGCAUAAGCCAGCUUGACUGCGAGCGUGACGGCGCGAGCAGGUGCGAAAGCAGGUCAUAGUGAUCCGGUGGUUCUGAAUGGAAGGGCCAUCGCUCAACGGAUAAAAGGUACUCCGGGGAUAACAGGCUGAUACCGCCCAAGAGUUCAUAUCGACGGCGGUGUUUGGCACCUCGAUGUCGGCUCAUCACAUCCUGGGGCUGAAGUAGGUCCCAAGGGUAUGGCUGUUCGCCAUUUAAAGUGGUACGCGAGCUGGGUUUAGAACGUCGUGAGACAGUUCGGUCCCUAUCUGCCGUGGGCGCUGGAGAACUGAGGGGGGCUGCUCCUAGUACGAGAGGACCGGAGUGGACGCAUCACUGGUGUUCGGGUUGUCAUGCCAAUGGCACUGCCCGGUAGCUAAAUGCGGAAGAGAUAAGUGCUGAAAGCAUCUAAGCACGAAACUUGCCCCGAGAUGAGUUCUCCCUGACCCUUUAAGGGUCCUGAAGGAACGUUGAAGACGACGACGUUGAUAGGCCGGGUGUGUAAGCGCAGCGAUGCGUUGAGCUAACCGGUACUAAUGAACCGUGAGGCUUAACCUU